GAAAAAAGAUAAGUAGACAUAAAAUCUAAGUCUCUCAGAAGGCAUAAAGAAUUUUUUUUUUUAAAUAAAUAAAUACAAUACUUACCACUAUCUGCACUUGCAGACUGAUUGGCUUCCAUGAAGGAAUUAACAUCUGACAUGUUGAAAGACUCUGGCAGAACUCCAAAGUUUAAGGCCAAACCAGCGUUUAAUGUAUUUUUACUUGUAUUAAUAGCAUGAGCCGGAUCAAAAGAGGACUUAAUUUGUUUACUCCCAUUAUUUGCAUAAUUCCAUCUCUUGUUGAGAUUAAAUGAUAGCAAAACUUUAUUUCGUUUCAGCUUCCUUAUUUUAUCCAUUCUGGUAGAACAUUUUUUUUUCCUGGAUUUUUUCUUGGAUUGAGCUGUAUCUGUAUUUUUCUGUUUGUCAGAGAAUGUAUUUUCAUAUUUUGCUUCAGUCCGAUGUGUUUGUGCAUCUUCUUCAUUUGACAUCAAAGUAGUAAUCAGAUCAAACGCUGAUGUUUUCAUCACAGAGUUAUCCGCAGCAUCAUUUUUUGAUUCUGGUGUUUUUGCACUUUUCUGCUUCUUUGACCUUCUGUUAUUAGACCUCUUUGAUGGCACAUAGGCCUUCUUCCAGGAAUUCCUAACUCGUUGUUUAGGAGUCUGGCGUUUAGUACCGUUAGGGUAUUCAUUCCAACCAGAACCUAUUCUUACAUUAAUUGUUUCUGGGGGAAGAUGCACUGUAUCCAAUGACGUGAAGCCAGAAAUAUUUUUCUUUUGUCUCAGGUUAGAGGUGCCAAAUAAUGCAAGGUUUAUUAGUGUAUCUACUGUCUUAUACUCUGGCAUUGUGAUCUCUUUGUGGUGAUCUCUGCAAUGUUUUCUGCCUGUUAUGGACUCAUGUGAAGUACGUGCUACAAGUGGCGUUUCCAUCAACUCUUCUGACAUUGCAUUUUCUAUUUUAAGUACAUCUUCAUAGUUUGUGACGACAUCCACAAUCUCAAUCUCAUCCAUGCUGGUAUCAUCAUCAUCAUCAUCAUCAUCAAUGGGUGAGGUAACAGAAUUUUUUCUAGUCAUGCUUCUGUAUCCAAGUCUAUUUUUUGUCUGUCUGUUAUCUCUCAGCCCACAAAUAUCAGUAACAGUGAGCUUACAAGCUUUGUUGAAAGGAUGCUUGUGCUCAUCUGCAUUUACCUCCUUCACACUUUUGCCCAAGGUGUCAGCAUCAUGACUCAACUCAGACAUUUUCUCACACUCACAAAGUCCUCCAUUGCUAUAGCCCAAAAUUUGGAACCAUUUAACGAGACAACAGUAGUUCUCCAAUUGUGAAUUGAUUUGAAUUCUAUUGCUCCUUUCAUCUGAUUUAAUUUCAGUGUCCAUGUGAUUUAUAUCCUGGGCAAAUAAUUCCACAGUGUCUUGACCCUUGCUGUCUGUCGAAAUUUGUGUGUCUCCUUUUUGCAUGUUGUCCACCUCUCCAUCUGGCUCAACAGCAAGCAAUCUUCUAGGUUUCUCUGGUGGAAGGAUGCUCAUCUCAACAGAAAUGGAGUUUGCAGAACCAUUUUUGUCCAACACAGGUGUUAUGUCUGUGGUGGGGAGUUUAAGCAAAUUCCCUGGUUUUAUACAGCAGUCACUCACAUCUGAUGAUUGUGUACUUGAAGACAGUACCAAGGGUGCCUCUUUUUCACACUUUGUUUUAUUUCGUUUCUCUGAUUGCUCUGUUUUCGUUUGCACAUUUUUCACAGACAUACUAUCUUGCCCUUCUGUCUCUUUGACAGAACAUGUAUUUACAACAUCCAUGUCCACUGGCUCUUUUCUUACCAUUUUGUAACCUUCAGCACUUGAGUUCUUUUGAUGCUCAGGUGAUAAUUGUCUUCUCAGUCUCUCUACUCCACUUAGUGCUUUAUUAGAUACCUUUAUCUUCUCAUUUGUAUGCUCCUGUAUGUUUUCAGUCUCUUUCAUUGGCACUCCCUUGUCAGCAAUUUUCGGUUUGAGAUGCAAAGUCAUUAAGGAUGACAGACAAUCAUGUUCCAUGUCUAUAUCGUUGAGUUUCUCAUUGAGAUUCAACCAGGAUGAUGUGUACACCAUCUUGGGUGGUGCAAUGCCAUGUUCUAAAAUGUGAACGCUUGAUGCAACUUCAUUCAGUCUCUCUCUCGAAACUCCCUGGAGUAUUACAGAAUUUUCUCUUCCACAGUGAAGUCUGACUUCUUUAAUGAUGUCGACAUAAAUGUUUGAUUUUGCUACACUGCAUAAUUUCUUAUAAUCUCCAUUCCAAUACAACUUUAGAAUCUCACUGGAGAGGUCAUUAAAAGGCAUUUCUUUCUGCUGACUUAUUUGCAUCUGCUCCAAGUCAGCCACCAAAGUGUGCAAUCUCUGAAGAGACCACUCAUUUACAGGUAAGGUAGACAACUUAUCCAUUCUAGUUUCUGUGCCCUCAGAAUUUCUGCCCAUCACCGUAGCAUCAUCUUCAUUCAGAAAUUUAGCACUAGUGUUAUCGUCAGUGGGAUACAGCUGUACUGCCUCCUUUCUCUCCAUACUCACACUAUUAAGAGGGACUGAGGACAAUCUUUCACUCUCAACAUGAAGUUUAUAAUUCUCAGCAGGCCCAUCAUCCUUUAUACAAUGGGAAAGUCCAGUGGCUAAUACUGAUUUUGACGGUACUUCAUUUGUUUGCAAUGUUUUAUCACACAAAGGUGUCUCACCACUUUCAUUAGUUGUUGAUUGUAAAGUAUGUGGAGUGUACAGUCGAUUGUCAGUAUUUGGUACAGAUCUUGUUUCAAGGCCUCCCUCCUUCACUUUGGUCAGGUUCUUUGAAAAUGUCACACCUGCCACCACCUGCUGAGUCAAUGGUGUGACAACAGCAAUAGCUUUCUGAGACACAUACUUCUGCUGAUAGAUAUCUUUAGGCAUACAAGCAUUUCCAUGACAACAUUUGAGUGUUUGAGCUUGUGCUAAAUUAACACCAAAAUGUCCAACAUGUCCAUCACUGAACAAUCCCAGGCAGAUGGUGUCAUUAGGUAAAAAAUUAGUAAUCUUCACAUGCUGCUGCUGACUGUAUUGAUUAUUCUUCCAGCUUCCACUGAGAUUAUUAGUAUUCAGAACAAUCAUGUGUGACAUAGACUGCUGUGUAUUCAUAGUCGUUGAGGCAGAAGAUGCAUUUUGGCGCUUGAAAGAUGAAGAAAACUGAAUUUGGCCACUGCUAAUUUGCAGACUUGGUGGCGGUCGUUUCCAGUCACUUCCAAAUGUCGUUGGUCCUUCAGAAGAAAGGAUUUCCUUGUACUUUAAAAUAGUUUCCAGAGGUAUUGUUAUGUUAUUAGAUGUUUGGCUUAGAUGAUUGGAUGUAUGAUCUCCAGAGCCACCAAGCUUUUCCAUUGUUUAGGAAGUAUAAACUGGUUUGCAUUCUUUUCUAAUUCAAAUUUGCACACCAACAGGAUGGGUUGAUGCAAGCUGAAAGAGGGCAAGAAGUUAAUUUUUCUGUAUGGAAAAUCCUCAGAAAUCUAUGUUUCGCAGUUUUCGCUAGUUUUCACUGAAUAACAGGCUAACAGACCUUUUCUUCUCCUCCCUCCUCCUUCUAUUAUUAGGAGAAAGUCCCGGCUGCAGCCUGCAGAAAGGGGUGGGGCUACAUAUGUCGCUCCGCCCACAAGCAGUCUCAUUGGUUAGUGGCAAUGUAAUGACGUCGUCAGUGUUAUCACACAACA
ensembl:lncRNA